CAAGUCUCCUUCCGUGCAGCCACACCCCACGACGCUCCUUUCGUCUCUCUGACUCUCGCGCACGAGACCUACCCUCGCCUACCCUAGGUGCGCCGCCGCCGCCAUGGUCUUCAUCUCGCAGCUCCUCAAUCGCCCCGUCGGAGCGGCGUCUCCGUCUACGUACGCCUACUCGCGGUUGUCCUCUUUCUCCUGUAUUCCCUAAAGGUGCAGCAGGGAGCAUCUUUUUCUUGAGGCGGCGAUGAGCUACAUCCCCAAAUCGGUGGCGCACUAAAUCCCUGAAGCAUGUGUUCGAUUUUUCAAGCCAUGUCUGGAGUUCUCACGCGCGCCGUCGCGAGAUCCACCACGUCGAGCAACCAGCCGGAGGGGGGAUUUUAUAAUUCACUGUUAAAAUGUGGAGUCGUGACGAGACCAGGUUACUUGCAGAGAGGUUAGCAGGGCGACACGUCCCUGCUUCGGGCCUCACGGACCUCACGCCGAUCAGGUGGUGUCCAUACUGGUUGGAGUCAAUUGUUUCGGGUAAAUCUUGGAGACUGGUUCUGGCAUUUUGAUUUGGGGAAUCUUUUAGUCUUCAAUCUCAAAUGGCCAUUGGACAGGUUAUUACUAGCGCAUUUUGGGAAUUCUUAAGUUUCCACCCCCGGUGGAUAGCGGCACUUAAUUUUGUUUUAAAGUUCUCUAUUUGUUGAUUUGGUUUUCCAUCAUUCCAAGUUAAAUGGAUUUGUGCAGAUUUUCUCUAAAGUAAAUGAUUGGUCAAGGCAGAUGAUUACCGACGCUAGAGUAGCAAUUAAGCAGAUUUUCUCUAAGAAUUACUUCAUGUUCUGGUUCCUUUUUCUGUUAUGUCUUGUGAGCAUACACAAAGAUGUCCAGGGAAUAUAUAUCUUCUCCAAGAAGCAAAUGCUGGUGCUGAUGUGAAUAAAAUUGACUAUAUGGGCAUUACUUGAUGGCAGCAAUGAACAGUGUCCUACCUGGUAUGAUGAACUGCUUACUAGAUGCUGGUGUUAACCCAAAUGUUCCUGCCAGAAUGAGUUAAUGAGUCUUAUAUUAUUUCCUCCUCUGCCUUUGUGAUCCCAUUUUCAUGCAGUACAAAGUUAAAAGUAGUUUUAUGUUUUUGUUUCAAGGAUACUGGAAGAGGGGAUCUUGAUUGUUGAGGUCAUUAAAGUAAACUUCACUAUUUAGAUUGAUAAAGUUGAAAUCUGAUCUUACUUCCUGCGUUAUAAUUUUCAUUUCCACUAGAGGAUUUCACUUUCAUUACCAGUGCUGAUGUUUUGUUUAGCAUGGCUUGGGAUAUUUCAUGUUCAUGUAUCAAAGACUCAUUACCAGCGUUGAUGUUUUAUUUAGCAUUGUUGCUAAUUCAUAUAUUUCCUUAAAAUUUAAAAGGAAAUAGUAUUAUCAUCUAA